rnacentral:misc_RNA from 1 species
GAUGAAGAACGCAGUGAAAUGCGAUAAGUAGUGUGAAUUGCAGAAUUCAGUGAAUCAUCGAAUCUUUGAACGCACAUUGCGCCUUCUAGUAUUCUGGGAGGCAUGCCUGUUUGAGCGUCAUUAAACCUCUCUCAAGUAUGAUUACUUGGAUGUGAAGGAAGAGUACCUUAAACUUAAGGAGUGUUCUCCUUUGAAAUUGAUUAGCAGAUGGUAAUGUUAUUAAAUCCCUGAUGUUGUAAGAAAUAACAGUGGUUUUGUAGACUAUUAUCUAGCUUUAAAUUAUAAUUUUUAUUAUGGUUGACCUCAAAUCAGGUAAGGAUACCCGCUGAACUUAAGCAUAUCAAUAAAGCGGAGGA